rnacentral:rRNA from 1 species
AUUGAACGCUGGCGGCAGGCCUAACACAUGCAAGUCGAACGGUAACAGGAAGAAGCUUGCUUCUUUGCUGACGAGUGGCGGACGGGUGAGUAAUGUCUGGGAAACUGCCUGAUGGAGGGGGAUAACUACUGGAAACGGUAGCUAAUACCGCAUAACGUCGCAAGACCAAAGAGGGGGACCUUCGGGCCUCUUGCCAUCGGACGUGCCCAGAUGGGAAUAGCUAGAAGGUGGGGUAACGGCUCACCUAGGCGACGAUCCCUAGCUGGUCUGAGAGGAUGACCCGCCACACUGGAACUGAGACACGGUCCAGACUCCUACGGGGGGCAGCAGUUGGGAAUAUUGCACAAUGGGCGCAAGCCUGAUGCAGCCAUGCCGCGUGUAUGAAGAAGGCCUUCGGGUUGUAAAGUACUUUCAGCGGGGAGGAAGGGAGUAAAGUUAAUACCUUUACUCAUUGACGUUACCCGCAGAAGAAGCACCGGCUAACUCCGUG